GCCUGGGUGGCUCAGUUGGUUGAGCAUCUGACUUCAGCUCAGGUCAUGAUCUCACAGUUUGUGAGUUUGAGCCCCACGUCGGGCU
rnacentral:tRNA from 1 species